rnacentral:rRNA from 1 species
GCAUAUCAAUAAGCGGAGGAAAAGAAACCAACAGGGAUUGCCUUAGUAACGGCGAGUGAAGCGGCAAAAGCUCAAAUUUGAAAUCUGGCACCUUCGGUGUCCGAGUUGUAAUUUGAAGAAGGUAACUUUGGAGUUGGCUCUUGUCUAUGUUCCUUGGAACAGGACGUCACAGAGGGUGAGAAUCCCGUGCGAUGAGAUGCCCAAUUCUAUGUAAAGUGCUUUCGAAGAGUCGAGUUGUUUGGGAAUGCAGCUCUAAGUGGGUGGUAAAUUCCAUCUAAAGCUAAAUAUUGGCGAGAGACCGAUAGCGAACAAGUACAGUGAUGGAAAGAUGAAAAGAACUUUGAAAAGAGAGUGAAAAAGUACGUGAAAUUGUUGAAAGGGAAGGGCUUGAGAUCAGACUUGGUAUUUUGCGAUCCUUUCCUUCUUGGUUGGGUUCCUCGCAGCUUACUGGGCCAGCAUCGGUUUGGAUGGUAGGAUAAUGACUAAGGAAUGUGGCUCUACUUCGGUGGAGUGUUAUAGCCUUGGUUGAUACUGCCUGUCUAGACCGAGGACUGCGUCUUUGACUAGGAUGU